rnacentral:rRNA from 1 species
AUUGAACGCUGGCGGCAGGCUUAACACAUGCAAGUCGAGCGGGGUGAUGGUGAUUGCCCUAUCACUUAGCGGCGGACGGGUGAGUAAUGCUUAGGAAUCUGCCUAUUAGUGGGGGACAACAUCUCGAAAGGGAUGCUAAUACCGCAUACGUCCUACGGGAGAAAGCAGGGGAUCACUUGUGACCUUGCGCUAAUAGAUGAGCCUAAGUCGGAUUAGCUAGUUGGUGGGGUAAAGGCCUACCAAGGCGACGAUCUGUAGCGGGUCUGAGAGGAUGAUCCGCCACACUGGGAUUGUGACACGGCCCAGGAUCAGACGUGAGGCAGCAGUGGGAAAUACUGCACAAUGGGGGGAACCCUGAGCGAGCCAUGCCGCGUGUGUAAAUAAGGCCUUAUGGUUGUAAAGCACUUUAAGCGAGGAGGAGGCUCUUUUGGUUAAUACCCAAGAUGAGUUGACGUUACUCGCAGAAUAAGCACCGGCUAACUCUGUGCCAGCCGCCGCGGUAA